GAUGAACGCUAGCUACAGGCUUAACACAUGCAAGUCGAGGGGAAACGACAGAGGAAGCUUGCUUCCUUUGGGCGUCGACCGGCGCACGGGUGAGUAACGCGUAUCCAACCUUCCCGCAAGUAAGGGAUAACCCGUAGAAAUGCGGCCUAAUACCUUAUGUUUUCCUUAGAGGGCAUCUGAUGAGGAACAAAGAUCCGUCGCUUGCGGAUGGGGAUGCGUCUGAUUAGUUAGUCGGCGGGGUAACGGCCCACCGAGACGACGAUCAGUAGGGGUUCUGAGAGGAAAGUCCCCCACAUUGGAACUGAGACACGGUCCAAAAUCCUACGGGAGGCAGCAGUGAGGAAUAUUGGUCAAUGGGCGGAAGCCUGAACCAGCCAAGUAGCGUGCAGGACGACGGCCCUAUGGGUUGUAAACUGCUUUUAUAAGGGAAUAAAGUUAGUCUCGUGAGACUUUUUGCAGGUACCGCAUGAAUAAGGACCGGCUAAAUUCCGUG
rnacentral:rRNA from 1 species